rnacentral:lncRNA from 1 species
UGAAUCAAAGCAACAUUGCAACGCUAAAGUGAAGUUGCUAGCUUUUCUAAAUUAUUUCUUAUAAUGUACCAAAUAUCAUGUUUGGUGCCAGAAAUUCUCAUGUUUAUAUAUCCAGUUUUUACCUUGUUUCAGAAGAUUUACAGAUUCUUUCAGUGAUGGGCACACAACUCAGAAACACUUGAAUAGAUGAAAGGCAGAACUCUUGGUAAUUUCCAAAUGAAAAGAAGGCUGCCAUCCAGGGCCACACAAGAUAUGGCAUCUAGGAACAGAGGAACAGAAAGCUGGAACUGUCUAAGGAGGCUUACGUAUGUUGCUGACCUGCGCCUAGCUUGGCAGAUGGAGGACCAGAAGACUUCUGUCAUCCCUUUGCUCUCCAGCCUGCACCCUCCCUGCAGUAUACAACUUGCACAAACUUCCUCUGUGAUGUUUCUGCCCUGGGUGCAGGAGGGAAUCCAAAGAGGGAGCUUCAGAGGCUGUGGAACUUCCUGAAAUGGAAUGCAAAUUGUAGUGUUUUACAAAUCUAUGCUUGUCCUCCGCAGAGACACCAUAGUUUCCUCUGAAUUCUCAAGAAGUUCAUAGCAGAAAUGCUUAAGAAUCACCACUCCAGACACAUAACCUUGUAAGACCCUCAGUCUUAGAGUUCACAGACCUGGUUUUGCACUUUCAUUUUUCAAACUGUGAGCUGAAUGACUUUCUCCAAGUGAAUUGAACACUCUUUGUUUUCCUUUUUUGUUGUUUUCAUGUUGAUGUUGUUCUUGCUUCAUGCACAUAGUACAAAUAAAUAUUCUUAGUGGGUUUAAACUCA